GGUGGUGGUGGUGGUUUGGUGUUGAUGGUGUGGUGUUGGUGAUAUGCUGUUGGAAAGGGGGGGGUGUUGGUGGUGGUGGUAAUGAUGGUUGUGGCGAUGAUUUGGUGAUUACGAUGAUGGUGGUGAUGAGAACAUCAGCAGGAGCAACUUGAAACAAACAAGAGAACAAGAUUACAUGGAAGAAAUCAAAACAAACAAAAUGGCUGCCAGCGAUUAACGGUAGAGAUAAUAUGGGAGGAAUUAUAUAUGAACUGCUGAUAACAAGAAAAAAAAAAAAUGGUUUGGAGAAAUAGCAAAGAGACUAAAGAAAUCCUGAAAUAAUGGAAAAUAUCUCACAAUUCCAUUUAACCAAUAAUUUCACACAGUUCCAGUUUUUGUAUUGUUUUUUUUUUUUUGGAUUAAAAUUUUUUUAUGAUUACGUUA